CACGUAGUUAGCCGUGACUUUCUGGUUGAUUACCGUCAAAUAAAGGCCAGUUACUACUUCUAUCCUUCUUCACCAACAACAGAGCUUUACGAUCCGAAAACCUUCUUCACUCACGCGACGUUGCUCCAUCAGACUUGCGUCCAUUGUGGAAGAUUCCCUACUGCUGCCUCCCGUAGGAGUUUGGACCGUGUCUCAGUCCCAAUGUGGCCGGUCAGUCUCUCAACUCGGCUAUGCAUCGUCGCCUUGGUAAGCCGUUACCUUACCAACUAGCUAAUGCACCGCGGGGCCAUCCCUUAGCGACAGCUUACGCCGCCUUUCAAAGCUGGUCAUGCGAUCUGCUUUAUUAUCCGGUAUUAGCACCUGUUUCCAAAUGGUAUCCCAGACUUAGGGGCAGGUUCCCCACGUGUUACUCACCCAUCCGCCGCUCGCUUUCCCAACGUCAUUACCGAAGUAAAUCUGUUGGUUCCGCUCGCUCGACUUGCAUGUAUUAGGCACGCCGCCAGCGUCGU
rnacentral:rRNA from 1 species